rnacentral:misc_RNA from 1 species
GGCCUGCGGUUAGCUACAGCAUUAGAGACACGAAGAACAAAUCUAGCAAUAGGAGGUUGCUCUUUGGAAGCUCGAGAUGGCUCUGGAAACAAACGAACAUACAGGUACCGAUUCUUCUCCACAGACAAGUGCCAGCUCCAGAUGCCGACCUUGAAAGGAUCGGACUUUUUGUAAGAGCAAGGGCCAAAAUUCUCGAUCCUCCACUGGGCUAGUCUUGAAAUCGUCUCCACCUUUGAAUCUGCCAUGUUUCUCUGUCAAUCUCCCUAUGACUAUUGAAAUACAGGAGACUUUUG